AGAGUUUGAUCAUGGCUCAGAAUCAACGCUGGCGGCGUGCCUAACACAUGCAAGUCGAACGAGAAAGUGGAGCAAUCCAUGAGUAAAGUGGCGCACGGGUGAGUAACACGUGACUAACCUACCCUGGAGUGGGGGAUAACUGAGGGAAACCUUAGCUAAUACCGCAUAAUACCUACGGGUCAAAGGAGCAAUUCGCUCCAGGAGGGGGUCGCGGCCGAUUAGUUAGUUGGCGGGGUAAUGGCCCACCAAGACAGUGAUCGGUAUCCGGCCUGAGAGGGCGCACGGACACACUGGAACUGAAACACGGUCCAGACUCCUACGGGAGGCAGCAGUGGGGAAUUUUGCGCAAUGGGGGAAACCCUGACGCAGCAACGCCGCGUGGAGGAUGAAGUCCUUCGGGACGUAAACUCCUUUCGAUCGGGACGAUUAUGACGGUACCGGAAGAAGAAGCCCCGGCUAACUUCGUGCCAGCAGCCGCGGUAAUACGAGGGGGGCGAGCGUUGUUCGGAAUUAUUGGGCGUAAAGGGUGCGUAGGCGGUUUUGUAAGUCUUAUGUGAAAUCUAUGGGCUCAACUCAUAGACUGCAUGAGAAACUGCAGGGCUUGAGUAUGGGAGAGGUGAGUGGAAUUCCUGGUGUAGCGGUGAAAUGCGUAGAUAUCAGGAGGAACACCUGUGGCGAAAGCGGCUCACUGGACCAUAACUGACGCUGAUGCACGAAAGCUAGGGGAGCAAACAGGAUUAGAUACCCUAGUAGUCC
rnacentral:rRNA from 1 species